UAGGAAAUCUUCCGCAAUGGGCGAAAGCCUGACGGAGCAACGCCGCGUGAGUGAUGAAGGUCUUCGGAUCGUAAAACUCUGUUAUUAGGGAAGAACAAAUGUGUAAGUAACUAUGCACGUCUUGACGGUACCUAAUCAGAAAGCCACGGCUAACUACGUGCCAGCAGCCGCGGUAAUACGUAGGUGGCAAGCGUUAUCCGGAAUUAUUGGGCGUAAAGCGCGCGUAGGCGGUUUUUUAAGUCUGAUGUGAAAGCCCACGGCUCAACCGUGGAGGGUCAUUGGAAACUGGAAAACUUGAGUGCAGAAGAGGAAAGUGGAAUUCCAUGUGUAGCGGUGAAAUGCGCAGAGAUAUGGAGGAACACCAGUGGCGAAGGCGACUUUCUGGUCUGUAACUGACGCUGAUGUGCGAAAGCGUGGGGAUCAAACAGG
rnacentral:rRNA from 1 species